GUGUGGCUAGGCCAUGUGCAUCACAAGGCUGAGACACACGGUCAUGUCUUAGGCCAUGUAACCUUUGAACUAGGGACAAACAGCCGUGUCUCAGCCCGUGUCCUCACUCGUGUAACUCUCUGAGUAGGGUUACAUGGUCGUGUCACACGCCCAUGUGGUAGUCCAUGUAACUCUUUGAGUUACCCCACACACUCGUGUGCCAGGCCGUGUGUGAGGCCGUGUGACUCACUGACUUGCACCCUAAUAAAAUCAUCAGAUGACACACAGAGAUGUCACCAAGUCGUGUCCCUCACACAACUGAGUCACAC
rnacentral:lncRNA from 1 species